rnacentral:misc_RNA from 1 species
AAAACCAUAAAUCCAACCGGGUUUGUAUUGGGCGUCGUCCCCGGACGUAGCCUCAAAGUCAUCGGUCUUAUACGCGGACGAGCUCCAUUAGGACAGAUCGUGUGUGGACUUUAAAUCUCUG